CUUGACUGUCCGGCUCACCACAGAGAUGUGGUUUUCCCUUCGGGGACCGGAACACAGGUGCUCGCAUGGCUGUCGUCAGCUCGUGUCGUGAGAUGUUGGGUUAAGUCCCGCAACGAGCGCAACCCUCGCCCUUAGUUGCCAGCAUUUAGUUGGGCACUCUAAGGGGACUGCCGGUGAUAAGCCGAGAGGAAGGUGGGGAUGACGUCAAGUCCUCAUGGCCCUUACGGGCUGGGCUACACACGUGCUACAAUGGUGGUGACAGUGGGCAGCGAAGGAGCGAUCCCGAGCUAAUCUCCAAAAGCCAUCUCAGUUCGGAUUGCACUCUGCAACUCGAGUGCAUGAAGUUGGAAUCGCUAGUAAUCGCGGAUCAGCACGCCGCGGUGAAUACGUUCCCGGGUCUUGGUACACACCG
rnacentral:rRNA from 1 species